rnacentral:rRNA from 1 species
GCGGCGGGCUUAACACAUGCAAGUCGAAGGAGAACCUUACUUUCGGGUGAGGGGAGACUGGCGCACGGGUGAGUAACGCGUAGGCAAUCUGCCCAUAGCAGGGGGAUAACAUCGGGAAACCGGUGCUAAUACCGCAUAAUGCAGCGGGGCCGCAUGGCCACAGUUGUUAAAGGUUUCGACCGGCUAUGGAUGAGCCUGCGUGCCAUUAGUUAGUUGGUAGGGUAAUGGCCUACCAAGGCGAUGAUGGCUAGGGGGUCUGAGAGGAUGAUCCCCCACACUGGAACUGAGACACGGUCCAGACUCCUACGGGAGGCAGCAGUGAGGAAUCUUGCGCAAUGGAGGAAACUCUGACGCAGCCACGCCGCGUGCCGGAAGACGGCCCUAUGGGUUGUAAACGGCUUUUGUUCGGGAAGAAAGUACGGGUUUUGAUCUGUAUUGACGGUACCGAUUGAAUAAGCACCGGCUAACUCCGUGCCAGCAGCCGCGGUAAUACGGAGGGUGCAAGCGUUGUCCGGAAUCAUUGGGUGUAAAGGGUGCGUAGGCUGGUGUCUAAGUCUGGGGUGAAAUUUUGCCGCUUAACGGUAACAUGGCCUUGGAUACUGGAUGCCUUGAAUCUGACAGAGGUCGGUGGAAUUCGUAGUGUAGCGGUGAAAUGCAUAGAUAUUACGAAGAACACCAGUGGCGAAGGCGGCCGGCUGGGUCAGUAUUGACGCUGAGGCACGAGAGCGUGGGGAGCGAACAGGAUUAGAUACCCUGGUAGUCCACGCUGUAAACGAUGUAUGCUAGUUGUUGGGCCUUUGGGUUCAGUGACGCAGUUAACGCAGUAAGCAUACCACCUGGGGAGUACGUUCGCAAGAAUGAAACUCAAAGGAAUUGACGGGG